rnacentral:lncRNA from 1 species
GGAAAUUUACUUUUUUUAUUUCACAUGGGACACUUAAGUCUUGUAUUCAUGAAUGUUUACAACUUGUUGGGACUAGAAAACAUUGAUAAUUACAAAGAACAAUAAGAAUGGUAUGUACUGCGCUGUUUCUAGUGUUGCAGUUAAUUGAAUGUGUGGAAUUUGUAUUCAAAUUAUUACUGUUAUUAAUCUUGUAUUUAUGCAGACAUUCUCAGCUUAGUGGUUCCAUUCCAAAUCUCGGGAUUAAUGC